UACGAAGGGGGCUAGCGUUGCUCGGAAUUACUGGGCGUAAAGGGCGCGUAGGCGGCACCGUUCGUCAGGCGUGAAAUUCCUGGGCUCAACCUGGGGAUUGCGCUUGAAACGGCUGAGCUUGAGGACGGAAGAGGGUCGUGGAAUUCCCAGUGUAGAGGUGAAAUUCGUAGAUAUUGGGAAGAACACCGGUGGCGAAGGCGGCGACCUGGUCCGUUACUGACGCUGAGGCGCGACAGCGUGGGGAGCAAACAGG
rnacentral:rRNA from 1 species